rnacentral:lncRNA from 1 species
GUGGUCUCCAAAGAAAAAGGAGACCACUGCUGCAUGCUUUUUAUUCAGAAUAUCAAGUGGAAGGGCUGAGGUUACAGAAGACCUUAAAGACUCUUUAUAUAUUUAAAACUUUGCGUAGUUUUUUUAUUUCCGAAUUUAAGAAAUCAAUUAAACAUGAAUUUAUUGAAUAUAUUUGAGCUUGUAAAAUAUAUUGAGGCAUACAUGAGAUAAAAAAACUAACUUCUAGUUUCUGACCUGAAAGAGUCUAAUACUAUAGGCAUGGGCUUAUUGUGUGUAGGGAGACAUAGAUAGAUAGAUAGAUAGAUAGAUAGAUAGAUAGAUAGAUAGAUAGAUAGAUAUACUAGGUAUAUUUGUUCAACUAUAUCCAUUUAAUUGCUCACAAAAUAGUUACUGAGUAACCAUAGUAUAUUAGUUACUGUGUAUUCAAAUAAAAAAAUGCAUUGUCGCUAUCAUUGUAGAGGGCACAGUCUGGCAAUGAAGUCACAGAGGGACCACAUAUUGAUAACUCAGUGAGAAGUACUAUAAUGGACCCAUGUAUAAUUUAUUUUUCACAUAGCACACAAAGGGAACUGCUAAAUCUAGAAACUAAAAGAGAAUAUGAUUAAAUCUAGAUUAUAAUUGCCAGUGAUACUAUUAAUAGGGGAAGAACAGUGUGGGUUGGAGUAGCUGGCAGAGUCCUCUAGGAAAAGAGUGGGGAACUGAGACCUGAAAAAUGGGAGGAUUUGGAUAGGUGGGAGAGGAAAGGAAGGGCCUCAUUACUGGUUUCAGAAAUAGUGAGAACAUGGAUUCCUGGCUCAUUACGGGUGUUUGCUAAGUCCAAAGAUAGUAAAUAAGGAAUGUAACAUUUCUUAAAUUCUCUUUCUAUAAAGCAUGAAUAAUGCUAAAUAGCUUAGAUCAGGGCCCUUACAUGACAAGACUGACGACAAAAGUGAAAACUUACUCUGAGUGCAGGAAGAAAACGCAGACAGAAAUGAGUAUAUUGAUGGCGAAAGAUUGUUCCAAGUCAUCUUACCAUGUACACAUGUGGGAUAUUUAUAGAUUAUGUGAUGGGCAGCACAGGCACAGCAGAAAAGUCUCCCUAUCUCCACUUCCAAUUAUUUCACCAGGACACUUCAAACUAAGUAAAUCUCAGAUCCAAUAGAGGCAAUGUGGGCUUUGCGAACACAAGAAGUGUGACUUCGUAGUAAAGAGGAUUUCGGAGGAGGAGGCAAAGGAAAAGGUGGUAUCUAAAGAGAGUGGUUCUGUAUGAGAGAAUUCAUGGGCUACACAACAGUGCAGGAAAUUCCUCUCUUCUCAGACAUCACUGAGCCAUCAUACAUCUGUAAGGGGUCCUACGAUACUGUGAUGUCGUCUAUUUUGGAGGCAAACAAGUGGUUUGUAUGUUCAAAUGUCAAGUAAAUUUGACUAUCUUAGCUGCAGCCUAUGAGUUUGCAAUGGAAUCAAGGUGGCGUGUGAGAUCCCUGAAGCUCACUUCAUUUUUUUCUCCAUCCUUUGGGAAACAGGUCACUGAGUGCAUAUCUCCAAAAAA